rnacentral:rRNA from 1 species
UACAGAGGUCCUAAGCGUUGUUCGGAUUCAUUGGGCGUAAAGGGUGCGUAGGCGGCGCGGUAAGUCGGGUGUGAAAUCUCGGAGCUUAACUCCGAAACUGCAUUCGAUACUGCCGUGCUUGAGGACUGGAGAGGAGACUGGAAUUUACGGUGUAGCGGUGAAAUGCGUAGAUAUCAGGAGGAACACCGAUGGCGAAGGCAGGUCUCUGGGCAUUAACUGACGCUGAGGAGCGAAAGCAUGGGGAGCGAACAGG